AGCAGCAUGGCUCAGUGGAAAGAGCACGGGCUUGGGAGCCAGAGGUCAUGGGUUCAAAUCCCAGCUCUGCCA
rnacentral:tRNA from 1 species